rnacentral:lncRNA from 1 species
CCCUCCGCCCUCCUGAGGAGGCACGCAGGCUCUCCAACGCCCCAGGACCACAGCAGGACUGCCAAGCUUUAUCCACUGCAUCUUGGGGCUCCCAAAAGUGCAAAAGUGGACAUGCCACGUCCUCUUGAUGCUUGGGGCUGACCCAGCCUUCCAUCCGUCACUGUCCAUUGGACCCUUGUGAUCACGUUGGAUGGAUCUGGAGAAUCCGGCAGAAUCUCCCCUCUCAAGGUCACCUGAUUAGCGACCCUAAUUCCAUGCCAACCCCAUGCCACGUGACGUAACAUCUUCACAGGCUCCAGGC